rnacentral:lncRNA from 1 species
GGGAGUACACGACAUCCCUGAAGGUGGACUAUUGGUCUCAUGACAAUACAGACAAUCAUAUCGGAAAUAAAAACUCAGAAUAAUAUCAGAUUAUAAUCCCAUGAGAUUUACGGCCACGUUAUUAUUUCUCUCCUGGAUGUUACAACAGUUAAGUUUCCCAAACCUUUACAUUUUCACUCAACAUCUUUUUCUUCUUCUGCUAGAGCAGGGCAAACCUUUUCUGAGUACCCAGAGGACAAAUUGAAGCUGUCUGGGAGCCCCAGAGAGCAGAGGUGCUUGCUUUGAGCAGCUGGUCAAAGGGACAGAGCAGGCAAAAAAUGUCCUUGGGGGGUGGGAAGAGGGGGAACGUUUAGAGCAUCUCACCUGUACGCUCUUUACAUAAAUUGCUUGUCUUGUGGACAGAAGUAAAUAAUCAAUUUCUGGAGAUCUUGGUCAAAAAAGUUUUUGUUUUUUCCUUCCUGGUAUUAGGAUUAAUUAGCCACUAAGGACAGGUAGAGAAGAGUGGGUAAAAUUUCUUUAAGACCAGGCAGAAUCUUGGGAAGAGGGCCUGUUAGGAUUCUGGGUAGCCGGGGUCAGUUGGGUUUUCCAACUGUCAAUGGACUCCUGGUGUUUCUGUGCCCUGGAACACUGAAGAACCCAGUGGCUGGUGAAGGAGGAUAACAGGUUAGCGUUUCUGGAAUACGUUUGUGGGGGGAUGACAGAAAAGAGACUCUUUUCUCUGUGUGGCUGCUGAGAGGCCCAAGCCAGUUUGAGGCCUGGGUAGGCCUAAAAAGCCUAAAAAGUGGGCAGUGAGUGAAUAACGGAACUGGUUCAAAGCCACCCAGCUCAGGGUCUCAACAUGUCGAUAAGCUCUGAUAUUGAACCCCUGCUUGUUAUCAGGAGGUUGAGGAGGUGGAAUUUGGAGGUGGGGUGAUGUAAUGGACCGAAUACUGAGGGACAGAGGCCAUUUUUGAAGCCACUAAUUCUCAAAAAUGAGGAUGUGGAAUGAUCCUGAGGACCAUGGGAGGUCAUGUGAGGCGAGGGAUGCACAGCUGAAAGUGUCAGAGGGGUUCAGCAGUCAGAAGGUUGGGUGUCACCUGCCAUCCGUCAGAGCUGCUCAUCUGCCUGUUAGCCAGCACAUUCCUGACAGUUGAGAAGGAAGAGAGAUGCAGGAGCCCAUCGCCUGCCCUUUACUGAUGUGAAUCCAUGCGAAUUACCUUAUUGCCUGGAUGUGUUUUUUAAUAAACUCUCUUUUCCGUAAUGAGUUUUGCCUCA